CCUACGGGGGGCAGCAGUGAGGAAUAUUGGUCAAUGGACGAGAGUCUGAACCAGCCAAGUAGCGUGAAGGAUGACUGCCCUAUGGGUUGUAAACUUCUUUUAUAUGGGAAUAAAACGUUCCACGUGUGGGAUUUUGUAUGUACCAUAUGAAUAAGGAUCGGCUAACUCCGUGCCAGCAGCCGCGGGAAGACGGAGGAUCCGAGCGUUAUCCGGAUUUAUUGGGGUUAAAGGGAGCGUAGGUGGGUUGUUAAGUCAGUUGUGAAAGUUUGCGGCGCAACCGUAGAAUUGCAGUUGAAACUGGCAGUCUUGAGUGCAGUAGAGGUGGGCGGAAUUCGUGGUGUAGCGGUGAAAUGCUUAGAUAUCACGAAGAACUCCGAUUGCGAAGGCAGUUCACUGGACUGCAACUGACGCUGAGGCUCGAAAGUGUGGGUAUCAAACAGGAUUAGAUACCCGGGUAGUC
rnacentral:rRNA from 1 species